GGAGGGAGUAGAUGGGAGCAGGAAGAGCGCCUCAGAAGGGGCUCUCCAGUAGAGGUUGAGAGUGAAGGCUGCAGACAGAAGAGGCUGGCCUGGCCUGGCCUGGCCUGGGCUGGAGGGCUCCCAUGUAGCACUAGGGAGCUGUGAUAAAGGCAAUGAGAAGCCUUGGGUGAAGAAAGGUCACAAUCAGGUCCUUCCUUCCUUCCUACUUCCUCCUUCUCCCUCCUCUUUUUCCCUCCUUUCCUUCCUUUUUUGUCUUCCCUCCCUCCCUCUUUCCCUCCCUCUCUCCUUCACUUUUCUCCCACACCUUAUUUGUCCUAGGCAAGUUUCUAAGACUGAGUUACAACCGAAGCCCUUUUUAUUGCUUUUAUUUUGAGACAGUGUCAAAAUUGACUUGUCUGAGCUUCUCUGUAGCCUAGGCAGACCUUGAACUCAGGAUCCCUCUGCCUCAAGCUCCUGAAGUAGCUGGGAUUACAGGCCCAUACCACCGGGGCUGACUUCUAGAUUGGGUCUUAGAGUCAACCUGAAAGAUGAGGUUGUCCCAGGGAAAGCUAGGAAUUCUUCAUAUGGUCCAUGGUUAUUUGAGCACAGUUGUUGGCUGGGCCUUGGGAAGCCCGGCACACAUAGGCAAGGCUGUUGCUGCAGCAUCCUGGGGUUGGGUUCAUCCAAGGCCAAGCACCAACUGCAUCAGGGCCAGUACCUGGGUGCUGGUUCUCUCUGUGACUUCCAAGCCCAGCCCCAGCCCUCCGGAACCAGAGGCACUGGGGACGUGCAGCGCUACAAUCUAUAAGACGCUCAGAAGCAGGCAAGGCAGAAGGCCCCGGAGUUGCCUUCUGGGAGAGAUUUUCAUCAGGACAGCUGCAGGGUGUUUAAUCUGGAGAAAUUUGUUUGAGCAUCUCUGGGCUUAUAGAGCACUUUCCAGCUCCCACUGGCUCACCAGCUCACUCACCAGCUUACCAGGAGCAGAGCAUCUUCAGGUUGCAGAUAACUAAGCUAGAGGAGUCUCCUGCUGCCUGAUUUUUCUGACUGGAGUCCAGGAGGAGGAACUGUCUCAAAGUUGCAGUCUUAAGAGCCAGAAAUGGCUGAGGACAUGGCAGAGGCGACUCUCCUAGAUUUGCUUAAAACCCACUGUGAGCAUCUUCAAGGCCAAGAGCUAGUCUGCAGUAGAGGGCUCCUCUUUCUUCUGAGAUGGUCCCUGUAAAACAAGCCUUGUUGAACCGAACCAUUAACAGGAAAGCGGACCCAUGGGAGAUGCAGGGCAAGGGCUUUGUGACCUUCUGCCAUGAGUCAUAUGGGAGAACUAGCUUCUCUCUGACCCUCAAAAGCUGUUCCAGUCAGGGCCACUAGAGACUCACACAUGGAAGAAAUGUCACCCCUGCCUGGUGCCCUUCUAACGAAUGGACAAGCAAUAAAAAACUCAGAAAAGACCUGGCCUUACAUAAGAUC